UACGUAGGUGGCAAGCGUUGUCCGGAUUUACUGGGCGUAAAGAGCGCGCAGGCGGUCGUUUAAGUCGAAUGUGAAAGCCCCCGGCUCAACUGGGGAGGGUCAUUCGAUACUGAUCGACUUGAAAGCAGGAGAGGGAAGUGGAAUUCCGGGUGUAGUGGUGAAAUGCGUAGAUAUCCGGAGGAACACCAGUGGCGAAGGCGACUUCCUGGCCUGUUCUUGACGCUGAGGCGCGAAAGCGUGGGGAGCGAACAGG
rnacentral:rRNA from 1 species